GAGCGCGAAGCCACGCAGGACGCUUGUCCUGCGCGGCUGACCCUCCACCCGUGUGAACUGAUUUUGUUGCUUUGGCGGGCCGGGCUCGACCUACCGGCUCCGGCUGGGGAGUGCCCGCCAGAGAAGCCCCAACUCGUGCGGUUAGUGCAGUCUGAGAAAAAUUUAAUAAGUAAAACUUUCAACAACGGAUCUCUUGGCUCU
rnacentral:misc_RNA from 1 species